GAUAUUAUUAAAAUUCUCAUAACAAUGAUUAAUAUCGUUGUUCGUUACUAUCGCAUACACACUCUUUACUAAAUCGCAAAUAAAACUCACUGUAGUUCUAAGCCUGGUUAAAUAAAUAGUUAAUCGCGUGUCUGGCAACUGCAAACCAUAAUUGACUGUGUAGCGGGUUUCGUGAUUUAAAAUCUCACUCAAGCAUUUGGUCGUUCAUAGCCAUGCUAAAGUUUUUUUAAAAAAUUUUUUAAUUUGUUUCGUUUGAAAAGACAAAAACUGAUUCAACUUAAUUUUGGUAUUCAUUACUAUAUUAAAUUUUCAACAUUUUCAACAUUUUCUUAUAUCAAAUACUCCUGCACCCAUUUAUUGCUGUUCGGUUUUAUAUUUACCUUUUGUUUACAUACUAAUUAUUAUAUAUUAACUAUGGGCAAGUAAUUUUCAAUCGUUUGGCAUAUCGUAGAACAAAGUCGAAAAGAUAUAUCUCCUUCACUGAUUUGAGUUGUUCA